GACGAACGCUGGCGGCGUGCCUAACACAUGCAAGUCGAGCGGAGUCAGUAAGAGGAAGUUUUCGGAUGGAAUCUUAUUGAUUUAGCGGCGGACGGGUGAGUAACGCGUGAGCGACCAACCUUGCACAGGGGGAUAACGGACCGAAAGGUUCACUAAUACCGCAUGAGACCACGGUGUUGCAUGACACAGGGGUCAAAGGAGCAAUCCGGUGCAAGACGGGCUCGCGUCCGAUUAGGUAGUUGGAGGGGUAACGGCCCACCAAGCCUAUGAUCGGUAGCCGACCUGAGAGGGUGGUCGGCCACAUGGAAACUGAGAUACGGUCCAAACUCCUACGGGAGGCAGCAGUGGGGAGUAUUGGGCAAUGGGGGAAACCCUGACCCAGCAACGCCGCGUGAAGGAAGAAGGUUUUCGGAUUGUAAACUUCUGUCCUUGGUGAAGAGAAGAAGACGGUAGCCAAGGAGGAAGCCCCGGCUAACUACGUGCCAGCCGCCGCCGUAA
rnacentral:rRNA from 1 species